GUGGCGGACGGGUGAGGAACGCGUGAGAACCUGCCUCAAGGUCGGGGACAACAGUUGGAAACGACUGCUAAUACCGGAUGAGCCUUCGGGUAAAAGAUUUAUCGCCUAGAGAGGGGCUCGCGUCUGAUUAGCUAGAUGGUGAGGUAAAGGCUUACCAUGGCAACGAUCAGUAGCUGGUCUGAGAGGAUGAGCAGCCACACUGGGACUGAGACACGGCCCAGACUCCUACGGGAGGCAGCAGUGGGGAAUUUUCCGCAAUGGGCGAAAGCCUGACGGAGCAAUACCGCGUGAGGGAGGAAGGCUCUUGGGUUGUAAACCUCAAAACUUAGGGAAGAAAAAAAUGACGGUACCUAAUGUAAGCAUCGGCUAACUCCGUGCCAGCAGCCGCGGUAAUACGGAGGAUGCAAGCGUUAUCCGGAAUCAUUGGGCGUAAAGAGUCCGUAGGUGGCACUUCAAGUCUGCUUUCAAAGACCGAAGCUCAACUCCGGAAAGGGAGUGGAAACUGAAGAGCUAGAGUAUAGUAGGGGUAGAGGGAAUUCCUAGUGUAGCGGUGAAAUGCGUAGAGAUUAGGAAGAACACCAGUGGCGAAGGCGCUCUACUGGGCAUAUACUGACACUGAGGGACGAAAGCUAGGGGAGCGAAAGGGAUUAGAUACCCCUGUAGUCCUA
rnacentral:rRNA from 1 species